CCAUUUUUCAAAACAGAGGAAGGUUGCGGCAAUAACAGGUCUGUGAUGCCCUCAGAUGUCCCGGGCUGCACACGUGCUACAAUGAGUGGCGCAAUGUGCUAAUGUUUAAGGGAUAAGAGUGUGGUCAGUAGAACGUCGGGAUUUCCCCUGACGUCUCCCCCGCACGAUUAUCAGCCUUCCCUUAACAGGGCGGGCAACCUUUUCAAAAUACUGGUUUGAUGUUAAAGUAUUGAGUCGUUUUUUUUGGAUGGUGGUUUGUUAACCAAUACCAUCCGGCAACUGCUCGCGAGUUUGUGGUUCUGGCGACUCAUGGUGGGGACCGACGUUUGUAAUUUUUUGUCGCGUGUUAACUAGGAAUGCCUUGUACUGUCGAUUCACU
rnacentral:rRNA from 1 species